rnacentral:rRNA from 1 species
UACAUGUGGGGCAAGCGUUGUUCGGAAUUACUGGGCGUAAAGCGCACGUAGGCGGAUAUUUAAGUCAGGGGUGAAAUCCCAGAGCUCAACUCUGGAACUGCCUUUGAUACUGGGUAUCUUGAGUAUGGAAGAGGUAAGUGGAAUUGCGAGUGUAGAGGUGAAAUUCGUAGAUAUUCGCAGGAACACCAGUGGCGAAGGCGGCUUACUGGUCCAUAACUGACGCUGAGGUGCGAAAGCGUGGGGAGCAAACAGG